rnacentral:rRNA from 1 species
AAGCAAGUUAUACCGCGAAACUGCGAAUGGCUCAUUAUAUAAGUUAUCGUUUAUUUGAUAGUACCUUACUACUUGGAUAACCGUGGUAAUUCUAGAGCUAAUACAUGCUAAAAAUCCCGACUUCGGAAGGGAUGUAUUUAUUAGAUUAAAAACCAAUGCCCUUCGGGGCUCACUGGUGAUUCAUGAUAACUCCUCGAAUCGCAUGGCCUUGCGCCGGCGAUGGUUCAUUCAAAUUUCUUCCCUAUCAACUUUCGAUGUUUGGGUAUUGGCCAAACAUGGUUGCAACGGGUAACGGAGGGUUAGGGCUCGACCCCGGAGAAGGAGCCUGAGAAACGGCUACUACAUCCAAGGAAGGCAGCAGGCGCGCAAAUUACCCAAUCCCGACACGGGGAGGUAGUGACAAUAAAUACUGAUACAGGGCUCUUUUGGGUCUUGUAAUUGGAAUGAGUACAAUUUAAAUCCCUUAACGAGGAACAAUUGGAGGGCAAGUCUGGUGCCAGCAGCCGCGGUAAUUCCAGCUCCAAUAGCGUAUAUUAAAGUUGUUGUGGUUAAAAAGCUCGUAGUUGAACCUUGGGCCUGGCCGUCCGGUCCGCCUCACCGCGUGUACUGGCUCGGCCGGGCCUUUCCCUCUGUGGAACCCCAUGCCCUUCACUGGGCGUGGCGGGGAAACAGGACUUUUACUGUGAAAAAAUUAGAGUGCUCCAGGCAGGCCUAUGCUCGAAUACAUUAGCAUGGAAUAAUAGAAUAGGACGUGUGGUUCUAUUUUGUUGGUUUCUAGGACCGCCGUAAUGAUUAAUAGGGACAGUCGGGGGCAUCAGUAUUCAAUUGUCAGAGGUGAAAUUCUUGGAUUUAUUGAAGACUAACUACUGCGAAAGCAUUUGCCAAGGAUGUUUUCAUUAAUCAGGAACGAAAGUUAGGGGAUCGAAGACGAUCAGAUACCGUCGUAGUCUUAACCAUAAACUAUGCCGACUAGGGAUCGGACGGUGUUAUUUUUUGACCCGUUCGGCACCUUACAAGAAAUCAAAGUGCUUGGGCUCCAGGGGGAAUAUGGUCGCAGGCUGAACUAAGAG